AUUGAAGCCGCCCCUCCGGAGGAUAAUCCAGCUUUUAGAUUACUGCCUCCCGCGUUUCUUCUUCCGAAGUGCGCUUCUUAGUGGCCAGGAGGGAACAAAACAGCGACAUUUUAAUAAUUCUCUCACGUGAAUUUAUAGAGUAAAUAGCAAUGAGACUGUAACAGCUCUCGUUCAGUGGGGCUCGCACAGUUCCAUGAGGUAGUUCUAUUAGUUUCCCCAUUUUACAUAUGUAGAGAGUGAAGUAUGGAGAUUUGACGCCAGAAAAAAAAAAAAAUCCACACUUCUAACCAUUAGGCAAGACUGCCUCGUUUUUGAUUGUUCCUUGUUUUAUUUUAGCUUUUGUUUUUAAGAUUAUUGUGAAAAUCAAAUUUCAAGAGAGGAAAAAAAGAAAAAACGGCCCUUGAUUCCAGAGCCCGAACACAAUAGGGGUGUCAUGUCAUCCAUCAGUGAUCUGGGGUAGAGUAGUUUCAGGGCCAGAUGGAGACGGAAGCUGAAGUGGAUGGUGUUGUUGACUUCGUGAUGGGUGAGAUGGGAAGGGAGUGAGUGUUGACAACUCCUUCGUGAGAUUUUGACUGUGAAGGGGAGUUUGAGGAGACCCAGAGACGUGAAGCGUGAAAUGUGAAGGGAAUGUCUUGUCCAAGAUCACACAGCUGGCAAGCCGUAGGGUUGAGACUGCACCACACCUCACGAAUCCUGCUUGCCCUGCAGGCUGUGGAAGUCAACUGGGAUGCUGAGCACGGAGGCACUGUGCUAACCGCAGCCCACAGGGCUCAGGACCCCAGCUUGCCAACAUCCCUCUGGCCACAGCUCCUGAGCAGGACAUCACAUUAGCUGGAUCACAGCAUGUUCCUAGUGGA